rnacentral:rRNA from 1 species
CCGCAAGGUUAAAACUCAAAUGAAUUGACGGGGGCCCGCACAAGCGGUGGAGCAUGUGGUUUAAUUCGAUGCAACGCGAAGAACCUUACCUGGUCUUGACAUCCACAGAAGAAUCCAGAGAUGGAUUGGUGCCUUCGGGAACUGUGAGACAGGUGCUGCAUGGCUGUCGUCAGCUCGUGUUGUGAAAUGUUGGGUUAAGUCCCGCAACGAGCGCAACCCUUAUCCUUUGUUGCCAGCGAU